UACGUAGGGUGCAAGCGUUGUCCGGAAUUAUUGGGCGUAAAGAGCGUGUAGGCGGCCCGAUUAGUCCGCUCUGAAAGCCCGGGGCUCAACCCCGGGAGGCGGGCGGAUACUGUCGGGCUAGAGUCCGGAAGAGGCGAGUGGAAUUCCUGGUGUAGCGGUGAAAUGCGCAGAUAUCAGGAGGAACACCAAUGGCGAAGGCAGCUCGCUGGGACGGUACUGACGCUGAGACGCGAAAGCGUGGGGAGCAAACAGG
rnacentral:rRNA from 1 species